UACGUAGGGGCCUAGCGUUGUCCGGAAUUAUUGGGCGUAAAGAGCUCGUAGGCGGUUCGGCAAGUCGGAUGUGAAAUCUCCACGCUCAACGUGGAGGGGCCAUUCGAAACUGCCGUGACUCGAGUCCGGUAGGGGAGUGUGGAAUUCCCGGUGUAGCGGUGAAAUGCGCAGAUAUCGGGAGGAGCACCAGUAGCGAAGGCGGCACUCUGGGCCGGUACUGACGCUGAGGAGCGAAAGCGUGGGGAGCGAACAGG
rnacentral:rRNA from 1 species